rnacentral:rRNA from 1 species
CCUACGGGAUGCAGCAGUGGGGAAUAUUGCACAAUGGGCGCAAGCCUGAUGCAGCCAUGCCGCGUGUAUGAAGAAGGCCUUCGGGUUGUAAAGUACUUUCAGCGGGGAGGAAGGUGUUGUGGUUAAUAACCGCAGCAAUUGAGGUUACCCGCAGAAGAAGCACCGGCUAACUCCGUGCCAGCAGCCGCGGUAAUACGGAGGGUGCAAGCGUUAAUCGGAAUUACUGGGCGUAAAGCGCACGCAGGCGGUCUGUCAAGUCGGAUGUGAAAUCCCCGGGCUCAACCUGGGAACUGCAUUCGAAACUGGCAGGCUAGAGUCUUGUAGAGGGGGGUAGAAUUCCAGGUGUAGCGGUGAAAUGCGUAGAGAUCUGGAGGAAUACCGGUGGCGAAGGCGGCCCCCUGGACAAAGACUGACGCUCAGGUGCGAAAGCGUGGGGAGCAAACAGGAUUAGAUACCCCCGUAGUC